UCUGCCCCCAGAGUUGCUAAUUAAGUAGGUCUUAAUUUCUGCUGAUCUGGGGACCACACUUUCAACUCUACUGCUUAGGCCAUCUUAGGAAGAUUUACAAAAAGAUACAAUUGUUAAAGAUAAAUUUGUCAUUCUUUCAAGCCACAAAUACAAAAAAAUAAAUAAGAAGAAACCCUGGCCAGAAACAAUUAAAGGAGGAAGAGUGGAAGUGAGAAGACCAAUUAGAAGGUUGUUGUGGGCUCCAGGCAAGUGAUGGUACCAGGUUGGACUAACGUGGGAUUGUGGAGAUGAGAAGGAAAGAAAAAAAGGAGUGAAGGAGAGGAAGAAAGAGGAAGAAGAAGAUGGAGAGAGAAUGGAAAUGUUGCUUUAUUCUUAAAAAAAAUGGGUAUUAAUAAUGGCUAAUCAAUAUUUCAUUUAAACCUAUGAGUAGGUGUGAUGUGGUAUUGACAAGAAUGUAUAUUUUGUGUAUUUAAAGUGGAGAGCUCUAUAAAUAUUUAUUAAGUUUACUUGUUCCAGAUCUGAGUUCGAGUCCUGGAUAUCCUUAUUAAUUUUCUGUCUCAUUGAGUCUAAGUCUCUAUGUAUCUGGGUGUUAGGAUCGUUAGCUCUUGUUGUUGCAUUGAUGCUUUUACCACUGUAUCUUUGUUGCUUUAAAACCUAUUUUAUCAGAUGCGAGAAUUGCAACUCCUGCUUUUUAUUUAUUUGUUUAUUUUUGCUCUCCAUUUGGUUGGUAAAUCUUUCUCCAUCCCUUUGUUUUGAGUCUUUGUGUAUCCUUGCAUGUGAAGUGGGUCUAAAUGUAGCAUACCAUUGGGUUUUGGCUGUAUCUUUUGAUUGGGGGAUUUAGUCAAUUGAAAUUUAGGAUUACUGCCAUUUGAUGUUAACUGGCUGUUUUAUCCAUUCAUUGAUGUAAAUUCUUCUUUAUGUUGAUGCUCUUUACUUUUUGGUAUAUUUUUAGAAAGGCUAAUACUGGUUGUUUCUUUCUGUGUGUAAUGCUUCUUUCAGAAGCUCUUGUAAAGCAGGCCUGGUGGUAAUAAAAUCUCUGA